rnacentral:rRNA from 1 species
AUGAACGCUGGCGGCGUGCCUAAUACAUGCAAGUCGAGCGGACGGACGAGAAGCUUGCUUCUCUGAUGUUAGCGGCGGACGGGUGAGUAACACGUGGAUAACCUACCUAUAAGACUGGGAUAACUUCGGGAAACCGGAGCUAAUACCGGAUAAUAUUUUGAACCGCAUGGUUCCAAAGUGAAAGACGGUCUUGCUGUCACUUAUAGAUGGAUCCGCGCUGCAUUAGCUAGUUGGUAAGGUAACGGCUUACCAAGGCAACGAUGCAUAGCCGACCUGAGAGGGUGAUCGGCCACACUGGAACUGAGACACGGUCCAGACUCCUACGGGAGGCAGCAGUAGGGAAUCUUCCGCAAUGGGCGAAAGCCUGACGGAGCAACGCCGCGUGAGUGAUGAAGGUCUUCGGAUCGUAAAACUCUGUUAUUAGGGAAGAACAGAUGUGUAAGUAAAUGUGCACAUCUUGACGGUACCUAAUCAGAAAGCCACGGCUAACUACGUG